AUUUUGUUUCCCCUACUUCUCUCCUUCCUUCACUAAGCUACCCUGAAUAGAUCAGACUCUCUAAAUGUUGGCUCUAUAAAUAUUGUAUCAUCUAUCCUUUCAUGGGUCAGAAGGACUGACCCAUGUGACUGGCAAUGCAGACUUCUUGAGGGCAAAGCAAUGAGGGUCCCCUCUGAACUGAUACCCUCAGAAGUAACAGAAGGUCACAGAGCAAGCACUUCAGACAUAAACUCAGCCAAGUAUGAAGGAAAUAAAAAUCACCAUAAUCCUACCCUCCAGAGAGAAGAACUCAAUAAGUGCUUCAGAAUACAUCAUGAGAAACGCUGGGCUGGAAGAAGCACAAGCUGGAAUCAAGAUUGCCGGGAGAAAUAUCAAUAACCUCAGAUAUGCAGAUAAGUGAAGAAAUUGAAGAGGCAGAAAGUGAAGAGGAACGUAAGAGCCUCUUGAUGAAAGUGAAAGAGGAGAGUGAAAAAGUUGGCUUAAAGCUCA
ensembl:lncRNA